GGCUCGGCGCCGCAGCGCCCCGGACGAGGCGCGUCGUACCCGGUGAGGACAAGACGACGCGAG
rnacentral:ncRNA from 1 species